UUUCAUACAAGGACUUGAUUUUGAACGAUCAGUUUGUAUGGUAGCUAUAUGUUAUAGUGGUUCGAUAUCGGCGUUUCCGACAAAUGAGCAGCUUCUUGUAAAGAAAAGAACGUGAUUAAAAUUUCAGAUCGAUAACUCCAAAAUGUCGGCAUUAUUUCACGUAUAUACAGAGAGACGGAUAGAUGGACAUGGCUAAAUCGACUCAGCUGCUCACAUUGAAAAUUUAUACACAUAUGUAUAAAUUAUAUAGAAUCUCCAACAUUUCCUUCUGGAUGUUACAUACUUCUUGGCAUACUUAAUAUAGCCUGUUCAGGGUAUAAAAAUGUCUUCGUCGCAGAAGCGAUACAUGUGCUUACAAUGAGUAAUGUGAUGUUUGAGUAAUUUUUGAUGACAUAUGCUUACGCAAUGGUGGUGUGUUAAGUCACAAACUAGUUUUAAUGCUUUGAACCAAGAAACGUCAGAUUCUUCUGUACAAAUAAGCAAGUUAGUACGCAUUUCGCAUAUUUCACUAAUUGAUAAAAAAACACGGAAAUGAGUGUUUAAAAAAAAAAAAUUAUAUAAAUUUGCCUUCAUGAGUUGAAAAGAAAACCCACCCAGAUAGCCGCUAUAUCUCGUACACAACUAUUUGUACCAGUUAAUCGAAGCGACCGAUAAGAUGUCAAAAAAGAUAGCAUUAAAGAUUGCUCAAUCCUCAGGGCGCUUACCUUCAAUUAUCUUUUAUGAAAACUAUUUGUUUGUGUCAACUGCGUCAUGGCAUCAAAUUAUUUAUGUAUACUUAAAAUCGUAUGUAUGUGAUGCGAUCAGUGUGUUAUACAAUUGACAGUUCGCCACGCUAGUUCUGCUAGGCUCACGCAUACUUGGCAGGACGAGAAAAUAGGAGACAUCAUUUUUUCUCACCUACUUAUACUACGGAUUUUUAUACAUACAUUUUAAUAUAUAAUAUACAUUUUAUGUACAUAUUUACUAUAAUUAGUAGAAUAAUUUCUCCUAAAUGUAUAAUUUGUUUGACGAUUCUUUAUGUCGAUUCCACUUUUUAUUUCUUCUUCGCUAUAAACAAAACGUCAGCUGUUCGUAUCUGUGUACGCAAAAUCCAAACCAAGCACACCGAACACUCAAGCAUAGUUGCAUUUUUAUGAUUUUCUUGGAUGAAAGCGGCAGUAAUAUUGUUUACACCAUUGCAGCUACAUAUCUAUUUAUAGGUUAUAUCGGAUUUAAGUCUAGCGAUUGUGUUUUGUGUAAGAAAUUUCAGGUUUUUAAAACAAACUUUCAGUUGGCACAGCCGUUUUUGUUAGCAAAAAACCGUUUACCUUUACUGUAAGCAAAAGAAAAAAACAUCUGAAUUUUUUUUACCUUAGCAAGAGCGCUAGUGAAUUGCUUAUGUAUAAUUGAAGUGAAAAAAUGUGUCAUUACGUAAGAAAUAUAAAUACAAGUAUAUUGCAGUGCCAAAUAAUUUAAGAAAAAAAAAAUACUUAUGCUGUGUAGAAACAAGGACAUUUUUAAUGCAGCAAAUCUUAUUUUGACGGAUAGUGAGCGUGUGGAGAGGGAGGAGAGAUGCAGCGAGUUGCCCGUACUUGGACAGCACGUUUUAUGACCAUUCUCAUAAUUGCCGAUUCAUAUACAACUUUCUACGCUUUGGUUGACAUUUCAUACUUUAACAAUGAAGCGUAGCAAGCAAAGUGUAUAUCAGAAUGAAUGCUAUGCUUUCCGUGCUUCUUUAAAAAAAAAUUGACGUUCUUUGCUUGGCAAAGCGUAAAGAAAUGAGAGUUCUCCAACAUUUUGCUUCGCUUUGCUUUGACUUGUCACGAUAGGAAUGAAGUCAUAUAAAAGCAUACAUCGAACUUAUCUGUCAAAGCCAAUGUCUGACGCAAAUCAAAGCAAAAGUUGUAUGUGAAACAGCCAUAACGUCUACUUCUUAUAUAUAAAAAUGAAACGCUAUUUCGUUAUGUACUCGCAGUACUUUCGAACCGCAGCACGGAAAGACGUAAAAACCGUUCACACGACAGAUUCGGAUCUAUGUAACCGGAACGAAGCCGGAUUUUUAUGCGGCUAAGGACUGUCAACUCGGCAAAAUUCUGCCGCUACAACAAGAAUAACGUGAAAAUUUCCACAUUUGUUCAUUUAUUUGUGCAGAAGGUCCUAACGGAGUCCUUUUUUUUUGCGAAAUCAUCGUCGAUUUUGCGAUUACAUUCGAUGAAUUUUGAACAAAACAUUGUCUUAUGAUUAGACAUAGGUCAUGGCUCUUCUGCUCUCCUUCUGCACCGUUAUACUAUGCACAGGCGGUAAGUUAUGGGUAAUGCAGAUGCUGAUUUACUCUACGCCUCACAUAUCACAUUACUAUCGAUUCGAACGAUUUUCGGAUUUUGACCAUUUUUAGACUUGAGAUGGCACAUCUAAACGGCAUUAUUUUUGCACAGUUUUAACCCGAUAUAUUAUAUUUAGGUGUGGUUGUCGACCGAAUUCGCACAGCAUACUAUGGGAAUGUCAGAAAAAAGAUAUAAACGAAAUUAUCGUUAAAAUUGGUUUAGUAGCUCAUAAAAAAUAUAUUUAACGAGGAUGUCAAUAAGACGAACAGACUCCACCCAGAUUUGAACUCGCCUCGUCAUCCCGAUCGUUUAUAUAAGUAUAUUAUAACUCCGUAUCUAUCUCAAUUAGUUUUA